UACGUAGGGGGCUAGCGUUGUUCGGAAUGAUUGGGCGUAAAGGGCGCGUAGGCGGUUCGGUCCGUCAGAUGUGAAAUUCCUGGGCUUAACCUGGGGGCUGCAUUUGAUACGUGUGGGCUUGAGUGCGGAAGAGGGUCGUGGAAUUCCCAGUGUAGAGGUGAAAUUCGUAGAUAUUGGGAAGAACACCGGUGGCGAAGGCGGGUCUCUGGGCCGAUACUGACGCUGAGGAGCGAAAGCGUGGGGAGCGAACAGG
rnacentral:rRNA from 1 species